UGGAAGAGCAGAGCGCGCAGCGGGCCGGCAGCGACGCGGAGGAGCCUAGGAAGAGGAGGAGGAGGAGCGGGAGGAGGAGCAGCAGAGGCGUGAGGAGCAGAGGAGGCAACGGCCUCUCUGCUACUUGGGAAGCUAAUCAAGUGAAGCAAUGAGCCCUCACUCUUCUCUGCUCACUCUCUCUGCAAAUAGAAGGUGUUCAGUAGAGGAAGCACAAAGAAGAGGGUGCUGUGUCUCCUGGAGCUGGAGUUGUGAUUGUGAGCUGCCUGACAUGGAUGGAUUUUGUUAGCUGAACUGCAAACACUCUUAACCAGUGAAACAUCUCUCCAGCCCCCAUUUAGGUUUUAAAUCAAGAUCUUUAAUCCACGUUGGGUUGUUUUUGUAAGGGUAAAAGAUAUGGUUUAGUUUCAGUCUUCUUCAAGCUGAUAUACAGUUUAGCCAGUGCAAUUAGUUGAAUAAGCUUCCUUCCAUUUCAUGUUUUUGACACUUUUAUUGAAAAUCAGGCAGCAGUAGCUAUGGUUUAUUUCUGGAUCUUCUGUUUUGUCCCUUUGGUGUACCUGUCUGUUCUUAUGCUAGUACCAGGCUGUCUUUGUCACUAUACUUAGUGACAAGUGGCUUUUAAGGUCAGAUACUGUGGUAUCUCCAGCUGUGUUAUUUCUCCCUAGGAUUUCUUUGGCUAUUUAUGGUCUUUUGUGCCUCCGUAUGAAAUUUUAAAUACUUUUUUUUUAGUUCUGUAAAGAAUAAUAUUUCAAUUUUGAUGUCAAUUGCAUUGAAUCUGUAAAUUACUUUUGGUAAUGGAGCAAUUUUCAUAUUAAUUCUGCUAAUAGAAUAUCCUUACACAGUCGAGUAUCUUCUUUGAUUUCCCUUUUCAUUGUCUUGAAGUUUUUAUUAUGGAGGUCUUUCACUUCUUUCUUAGGUUUAUUCCUACAGAUAUCAUUGUUUGGGAUGUGUUAUGGAUGGGAUAUUGUUCUUAACUUCUUCCUCUGUGAGUUCAUUGUUGGCAUAUUAGAAAGCUACUUAUUUUUGUAUAUUGCUUUCAUAUUGUGUAACUUUAUUGUAAGUGAUUAUUAGAUAUUAGAAUAUUCUGGUGGAAUCUACAUGUUUUUUAAGUAUAAAAUUAUGUCAUCUGCAAAUAGGAAGUUUGACUCCCAUUUUGAUACCUUUUAUGUCUUUCAGUUGUCUUACUGCUCUAAGACUUUGAGUACUAUAUUAAAUAUAGAAGUGGAAGUGGCUACCUUAGCCAUUCCUGAUCUUAAGAAAAUUAUCUGCACCCCUUUAGCAUAACACUGACUAUAGGUUUAUUGUAUAUGGCCUUUAUUUGUAGUGAUAUUUGCUCCACCCAUGACCUUGGGCUAUAGGCCCUGAAGGAGGCAGUGCUUCCUGCUAUUGUAUGUGGCCUCUUAAAAGGAGAGGGAGAAGGGUCACAUGCCCCUUCUCCUGCCUGUGAGGAGGAUUUGUUCCUGGUCAGAUCAAAGGACGACUUCAACUGUCUACACCAUUCUGUAUUUGUGAGUGUAUUUCCUUGAUUUAUAUCUUAAUAAUCCCUAUUACCCAUUAAAUAGACUCACAUGGAUUGAUCAUAAUAUUUAUUAUUUUGAAAUGUGUUCCAAAUACUAAAAAUGUCUCAAGAACUUCUAUCACAAAGGUAUCAGAACAUAGUCCAGGAAUGGGGUUAUGUGAGAAGAAUUGUGAGUGCCUGUGAGAACACUCUGAGAAAAGGUAAGAGUCUUGUGACCUCAGUUUUGUCAAAACGUGGAAUUGUACUUGGAAUUUCUUUGUGUUCCUCCCAGGUAUAGCAGAUAUGAAUGAGUUUGCUUCAUGUUACCCAUUAUUGCUUGCUGCUGUUAUUAAAUUAAAAGUUUAAACUAUCCUUUGUAUGCCUCUAUGAAAAACAUGAUUUUGCCAUGUGCAGCUUGUCCUUGUGAUUGUAUACAGCUUAAACUCAUGAGAACUUUCUUGACUCAUGUGUCCUUUCUUAACCCUCAGAUUAUAAAUUGUCUGAGACUCUGAAUAAAGUUGGCUAUUGCAUGA